GACGAACGCUGGCGGCGUGGAUUAGGCAUGCAAGUCGAACGGUAUCAUCCUUUCGGGGGUGAGAGAGUGGCGAACGGGUGAGUAACACGUAGGUGAUCUACCCUCAAGAUUGGGACAACCCAGGGAAACUUGGGCUAAUACCGGAUGAAAGCAGCAGUGAUGUUGUUUGAAAGGUGGCGUAAGCUGCCGUUUGGGGAUGAGCCUGCGCUCUAUUAGUUAGUUGGCGGGGUAAAGGCCCACCAAGGCGAUGAUAGAUAGGCGGCCUUAACGGGUGGUCGCCCACACUGGGAUUGAGAUACGGCCCAGACUCCUACGGGAGGCAGCAGUCGAGAAUAGUCUACAAUGGCCGAAAGGCUGAUAGUGCGACGCCGCGUGAACGAAGAAGCCCUUCGGGUGUAAAGUUCUUUUAUAUGUGAGCAGUGCUUUCUAUGUGAACAGCAUGGGGAGAGAGAUAUUAGCAUAUGAAUAAGCAACGGCUAACUCCGUGCCAGCAGCCG
rnacentral:rRNA from 1 species